CCCAGACUCCUACGGGAGGCAGCAGUGGGGAAUAUUGCACAAUGGGGGGAACCCUGAUGCAGCGACGCCGCGUGGGUGAAGGAGUACUUCGGUACGUAAAGCCCUAUCAGCAGGAAAGAAAAUGACGGUACCUGACUAAGAAGCCCCGGCUAACUACGUGCCAGCAGCCGCGGUAAUACGUAGGGGGCAAGCGUUAUCCGGAUUUACUGGGUGUAAAGGGAGCGUAGACGGCAGUGCAAGUCCGGAGUGAAAGCCCGGGGCUCAACCCUGGGACUGCUCUGGAAACUGUAGAGCUGGAGUGCGGGAGGGGCAGGCGGAAUUCCUGGUGUAGCGGCGAAAUGCGUAGAUAUCAGGAGGAACACCGGCGGCGAAGGCGGCCUGCUGGACCGUAACUGACGUUGAGGCUCGAAAGCGUGGGGAGCAAACAGGAUUAGAUACCCCCGUA
rnacentral:rRNA from 1 species